GUGGCGACGAUGCGUAGGGGUUCUGAGAGGAAGGUCCCCCACACUGGUACUGAGACACGGACCAGACUCCUACGGGAGGCAGCAGUGAGGAAUAUUGGUCAAUGGGAGAGAUCCUGAACCAGCCAAGCCGCGUGAGGGAAGACGGCCCUAUGGGUUGUAAACCUCUUUUGUCGGAGAACAAAACCCGGGACGAGUCCCGGACUGCGUGUAUCCGAAGAAAAAGCAUCGGCUAACUCCGUGCCAGCAGCCGCGGUAAUACGGAGGAUGCGAGCGUUAUCCGGAUUUAUUGGGUUUAAAGGGUGCGUAGGCGGUCCGUUAAGUCAGCGGUAAAAUUGCGGGGCUCAACCCCGUCGAGCCGUUGAAACUGGCAGACUUGAGUUGGCGAGAAGUACGCGGAAUGCGCGGUGUAGCGGUGAAAUGCAUAGAUAUCGCGCAGAACUCCGAUUGCGAAGGCAGCGUACCGGCGCCAGACUGACGCUGAGGCACGAAAGCGUGGGGAUCGAACAGGAUUAGAUACCCUGGUAGUCCACGCAGUAAACGAUGAAUGCUGGUUGUCCGGGUCGAAUGAGACCUGGGCGGCGA
rnacentral:rRNA from 1 species